GUGAAUUCUAUUAUAUGCUCUUUAAAGCUCUCGUAAGUUUCCAUCCCGGCUUCUUAAUCCAUGCUGUUCAAAGCCUGAAAACAAAAUAUAGUAAUGGUGAAUGAGAAAUGCUCAGUAAAAGGAUCAACAAUCAUAAAACGGUUGAGGGUUGCGAUCUUGAACUCCAUGUGACCAUGGCAACGACUGUGACCGCAGACCUGCUCAUCCACUAAUUAAUCAAGGUCAUUGAGAGAAAAUUGAGAAUUUUAAGUAAAAAUGCAUAGAAAAGGAUGGAGCCAUCGGGCCCUGAAUGACUGCGCUCGAGCGCACCUGCCUCGCAUACAGCGCGCGCAGCGCUUAAUUGUUGCGUCGCUCAAGCCCUGCCGAACGCCCAAAGGCGCUCGAGCGCACCCUGCUAACCUUGACCUACAACUGCAGGAAUCCUAAUUUUUUUUCUAUAAAAACCCCAUUUUUCUCAUUUCUUCGGGGGGAGGCCACUUGGAAAGCACCU